ACUCCCUAUUCCAUGGCACAAGCCCAGAACUCUCUCUACCUCCUUGGGCCGCCCCUCCUCUUCGUCCCCGCCGCCGGCGCGAGGACUCGCACUCUUCCCACUCUUCUCAGCCCCUCCUCAUUGAAUCAGUCGCCGCAGUGCCCGAGGAUCCGCUCGAGCCCGGCAUGGUUGCUGGGCGCGGGACGCAGGCCAACGCGGAGGCGCGGGACUCGUCUCCAUCCGAUCGGCGGGCAUGGAAAUCAUGCGUCGCAACGUCCGCGCCCGGUGCCUUCCUCUCCAUCUCGCUCGUCAGCGGCUCCCACCACCCUGUGCAUGCGACUACGCUGCGCCCUGCCCAGAUACGGCAGCAGUGUUGCGGUGGCUUGUCCCCUCCAAGUGCAAGCCGGCGCCAUUAGACGAUCUAUUCCCCACUUCAGCUUUCAUAUCUGCUUAUUUCUGAUUUGAGUUACUCCCCAUUACCCACUUCUGCUAAUCCCUAAUUGCCAUGCAUUCCUGUAUAGUACAUAUGUAGCUUAGUAGUCUAGGUUUAAGCAUGAGAGUCAUUUUAGAAUCAGGGAGAAAAAUUAGAAGUUGGGGUGAUCCUAUUUUGGUCUGCCUAAUCUUGGAGUAAGCUGUUCGAUUAGACGUUCUUAACUUAGUUGCGGCAACUGUUAUGGGUGGGGAUUCCAGUUAGUUAAUAUUCUUGAGGCAACCAUGCUGUGAUAAAGCUGAUUGAUUGGUGGAUUUGAAUUCUGGGUGGCUAGGGGCGAUAGGGACCAAGACAGAUGAGGUUGAUUUGGCUUGAUCCUGCCAAGAAAUUUACUUCUAUUUUGAAAAAUGAACACAUGUUCUUAGAUGUGCAAGGUUAAGUUUCCAAAUGCGAGGUUUAUAGAAAAUCAAAGAGGAACAAGAGAAGCAUAGUAUGAUAAUACAGUAGGAUAAGCAUGUAUGACUGUAUGAUAAUACAGUUUGAAGAAUGAUGAUGGUAUGGUUCUCAUAUAGAGGACGGUGGUUGGCUCACAGAGUUUAUCACCUCAAAAACUUCCUUUCUUGGAAUAACUUGCCUUAUUAGAAGUCCAUAAACAUCUCUGGCAUCUUCAGUACUACUUACGGCAGCUGCACAAUUGUUAUUCAUGAUAUAGCACAACAUUUUAGAUAUAUUUCUUGUUGUCCCGGACCCCCUGUUAAAACAGAAGUGCUUUUGCAGGCUUACAAGAAAUAUAUUUUGAAGACCAUCUAACUAUCUAAGAGUAAUGGAAUUCGUUCCAUCCUAAAUUUUUGGGACUCUGGAAUAAACACAAAGAUGGGAAUGGGGAUGCAUACCUGCCUGCCAUAUACAUUGACAGGUUUUCAAUACUCACCCCGAAGCUUUUCAGCGUUGUACAGAAGAAGUAAUUGACAAGUUUACUUCAUGAUAGUCUUGGAUUUGGUUUGGCUGGCCAAAAUGAUCAGGCAAAGGCAGGUGCAAUGAGGAGUUCGUCGGCGCCUACGUCGUCAGGGUUGCGGAAGGCGGCGAUGGCCAAAACUGGCUGGGCAGCGACGGUGCAACAGUGGCUUGCGCACAAGAGGAUAGUCUGCACGUAAGUCCGGGUGGGCAAGGGUAGGAAGAUCCAGCUGAUUCCCGCAAGUUUAGCCAUUUGUUAUUAGGCGGACUUGUUCAAUUGCCGUUAAUUGUGCCUAAUUUUCUGUAGUUCAGCCAUUUGUUGUUAGGACGCUAACAUAAUUGGUGGAACCGUUCCGAUCUUGUGCGAGCGUGGGUCCGGCAGAGUUUUCGUC